AAUUGCUAGUAAUGGCAGGUCAGCAUACUGCCGUGAAUACGUUCCCGGGCCUUGUACACACCGCCCGUCACACCAUGAGAGUUGGGAAUACCCGAAGCCUGUGAGCUAACAUUAAGAGGCAGCAGUCGAAGGUAGAAUCAAUGAUUGGGGUGAAGUCGUAACAAGGUACC
rnacentral:rRNA from 1 species